rnacentral:lncRNA from 1 species
UGGCUACUGCCUUCAAAGAAGACGCAGAAAUAAGGGAUUCUCCCAAAGGAGGAGGGAAUCUGGGCUCUAGACAACCAACGAGUCCCAGCAGUAAAUGCGGUCAGUAAGGGAGCGCCUUGCAGCUAUCAAAGGGCGAACAGAACUGAAGGGCAGUGCCUCGGAGAAUCUCAAACAGGUUUCAAGAGGCAGGGAAGGGAAGAGGAGCCAGUAAAGGAGAAAGGACCAGGAGGGAGCAGAGCCUGAAAGCCCACAGAAAGUGCAGAGGCAAGUGGUGACUGUACAAGAGCAGUCUGAAGAGGUUGGAAGCAGAGCCGGACUGUGACUGAGAAGGAACUAACGGUGAGUGAAGUCUCAAGUCGUCUCAAGUCGGGACAGAGCAGCUGCGGAGCCCCCAGCCAAGUCCUGCUUCCGUCAUUAAUGGGACCGCUGUGUCUCCACCUCCCUUGCACUGGAACUUCCCAACAGCUUGCGGAUAAGGUCUUAUUCCCAUUUGGAAAUACAUGAAAACUGAAUUCCAUAUCCAGGGUUAGAGGAGAUUCUCUUUUCCAGAAAUACAUGUUGUUAGUAGAUAUCAAAAUGUAUUUCCUGGCCCAGAAAUCGCUCUUUAAAGAAACUGAGGCAAAAGAAAUCGCCAGAAGUAUGCACGCAGACUUUCCUGCACAGUUGUACCCCGUAGUGGGAAAGAAUAGGGGUUCACCCUGGCCAGGAAGAGACCUGCAGCCACUGCUAAGCCCUGCUUCGGAAUGAAACACUCAAGAAAGGAAAGGGAUUCUCUGCCUCUGGACAGUGCAGACGACAGUACAGAGAGUAUGACUCCAUUAUGUAUGUGUGUGUGUGAACUUCUUGGUUUAUUUUCCCCUAUAUUUUCCAAAAUUUCUAUAAUAAACAAAGACAACUUUUAUAAUGAGACUUAAAAGAAGGUCCUUGUUUGUGGUCCAACAGGCCUAUCUGGGAAAAGGAGGCUGGGAUUCUCCUAAUUCUCCAACCUGCCUUCCACUGCCCUGCGGUUUUUCUUUUGUGCCACAGUCAGCAGAGGAAUAAGAUCUCCCUGGAUGACGCAGCAGUUUUCCGGUUUGCUUACUUUGUGGGGUGCGAGGGGUUGAACCCAGGAGUGCUAAGCACUGAGUUAAAGUCCCAGGUCUUUUUGUAUUUUAUUUUGAGACAGGGUCUUGCUAAAUUGCUGAGGCUGGUCUCCAACUUGCGAUCCUCCUGCCUCAGCCUCCCCAGUCGCUGAGACCACAGGCCUGCGCCACCGCACCCAGCCUCUCCGUUGAGUCCAACAUUCAACUAAAGCAAGCCCUCUAACCCUC